AAAAGGCGUAGCAUGGAUCUCCGGUUUGAACAGCGACCCCGGGUCACCUUUGUAGCACCGCUUCUUCAUCGCACAAUUCAACGAUAAAAACAUGGACAGCUUCCUUGCCAAGUACCUUGCGAUGGCGCUUGCUACAGCACUCGUUGCGCUAAUCGUCGCCCCCUACAGCGCCGAAGCGAUUCCUCCGACCCUAAUCGAAACUGCUGCAAAGGCACUUGGAAACCUCUUCGGAAGGAGCGAGGAAAAGUCCAAGGAGUGAAGAGUGUGUUAUCGUGUAACUAUGUGGACAUUCUGCGAUGCAUGAAAGUACCAGCCUGAUAAAUUUCAAUAAAUUGAAAUGAGCAGAAAA
rnacentral:lncRNA from 1 species